GAUGAAGAACGUAGCGAAAUGCGAUACUUGGUGUGAAUUGCAGAAUCCCGUGAACCAUCGAGUCUUUGAACGCAAGUUGCGCCCGAAGCCAUUAGGCCGAGGGCACGCCUGCCUGGGCGUCACACGUCGUUGCCCCCCCAUCUACUCCUUCGGGAUUGCGGGGGGCGGAUGAUGGCCUCCCGUGCGCCUCGUCGCGCGGUUGGCAUAAAUGCCAAGUCCUCGGCGACGCACGCCACGACAAUCGGUGGUUGCGAAACCUCGGUUGCCCGUCGUGUGCGGUCGUCGCGCAUCGAGGGCUCGAAAAAAUUGCCGGGCUCCGACUCGGCUUUCAACGCGACCCCAGGUCAGGCGGGGUUACCCGCUGAAUUUAAGCAUAUCAAUAAGCGGAGGA
rnacentral:misc_RNA from 1 species